UACGUAGGUGGCAAGCGUUGUCCGGAAUUAUUGGGCGUAAAGCGCGCGCAGGCGGUUCUUUAAGUCUGAUGUGAAAGCCCACGGCUCAACCGUGGAGGGUCAUUGGAAACUGCGGGACUUGAGUACAGAAGAGAAGAGUGGAAUUCCACGUGUAGCGGUGAAAUGCGUAGAGAUGUGGAGGAACACCAGUGGCGAAGGCGACUCUUUGGUCUGUAACUGACGCUGAGGCGCGAAAGCGUGGGGAGCAAACAGG
rnacentral:rRNA from 1 species